rnacentral:rRNA from 1 species
UACGAGGGGGGCAAGCGUUGUUCGGAAUUAUUGGGCGUAAAGGGCGCGUAGGCGGUGCGGUAAGUCACCUGUGAAACCUCUAGGCUCAACCUAGAGCCUGCAGGCGAAACUGCCGUGCUUGAGGGUGGGAGAGGUGCGUGGAAUUCCCGGUGUAGCGGUGAAAUGCGUAGAUAUCAGGAGGAACACCGGUGGCGAAGGCGGGACUCUGGGCCGAUACUGACGCUGAGGAGCGAAAGCGUGGGGAGCGAACAGG